rnacentral:rRNA from 1 species
AUUGAACGCUGGCGGAAUGCUUUACACAUGCAAGUCGAACGGCAGCACGGACUUCGGUCUGGUGGCGAGUGGCGAACGGGUGAGUAAUGUAUCGGAACGUGCCCAGUCGUGGGGGAUAACGUAGCGAAAGUCACGCUAAUACCGCAUACGAUCUAAGGAUGAAAGCGGGGGACCGCAAGACCCCGCGCGAUUGGAGCGGCCGAUAUCAGAUUAGGUAGUUGGUGGGGUAAAGGCUCACCAAGCCAACGAUCUGUAGCUGGUCUGAGAGGACGACCAGCCACACUGGAACUGAGACACGGUCCAGACUCCUACGGGAGGCAGCAGUGGGGAAUUUUGGACAAUGGACGCAAGUCUGAUCCAGCCAUUCCGCGUGCAGGAUGAAGGCCCUCGGGUUGUAAACUGCUUUUGUACGGAACGAAAAGGUCUCUCUUAAUACGGGGGGCUCAUGACGGUACCGUAAGAAUAAGCACCGGCUAACUACGUGCCAGCAGCCGCAGUAA